rnacentral:lncRNA from 1 species
CGUGGAAACUUGGGUGGAGUCCUUCCAUCGUGAAGAAUCCGGUUGACGCUGGUGGGGGCUUAUCCGUCGGCAAAACUUGGGAGUGUUGUGGAGGCUCGACCGCCAGAGAAGUUUGGAGAGAUGUCGCCGAAGGUCGGAAGUCAGUAGAAUCCCCGGAGGAUAACUCCUGUCAUGAACUUCGGCUGGGGGUAUUUUAUACCCAACAAUAUAUAUGCAUAUGUGCAUAUGUGUGUGUGUGUGUCUAUAUAUAUAUGUAUA